GACAACUCUAUGCUUGCAUGGCUCACUGCCAUUGACAUCAAGUAUCAGAUCUGGAAAUUUGGAGUUGUGUUUACAGACAAUACUUUCCUCUACCUGGUGUGGUACACAGUUAUGUCACUUCUUGGACAUUACAACAAUUUCUUCUUUGCUUGUCACCUGCUGGACAUCGCAAUGGGUGUCAAGACCCUGCGUACAAUUCUUUCCUCGGUCAC